UCGAGGAUCUUCGUCAAUGGGCGAAAGCCUGAACGAGCGAUGCCGCGUGCGCGAUGAAGGCCUUCGGGUUGUAAAGCGCGAAAGUGGGGAGAAAAGCCCGAAAGGGCUUGAUCUAUCCACAGUAAGCUCGGGCUAAGUUCGUGCCAGCAGCCGCGGUAAGACGAACCGAGCGAACGUUGUUCGGAAUCACUGGGCUUAAAGGGCGCGUAGGCGGGCUGUCAAGUCUGGGGUGAAAUCCCGCGGCUCAACCGUGGAACUGCCUCAGAUACUGACGGUCUCGAGGGAGGUAGGGGCGAGCGGAACUGAUGGUGGAGCGGUGAAAUGCGUUGAUAUCAUCAGGAACUCCGGUGGCGAAGGCGGCUCGCUGGACCUCUUCUGACGCUGAGGCGCGAAAGCCAGGGGAGCAAACGG
rnacentral:rRNA from 1 species